ensembl:lncRNA
UAUUUACAUUUCUAUUCAUUCAUCUGAAGGCCAUUUGUUUAAUGUUAGGAAAUUAAAAUCUUGCACAUGAUUUACCUGCUCUAGACUAGCCUGGGAACUCUUCCAGCUUGCACUACAUUUCAGUGCAAACAACAGUGGCAGGAGUAUUAAUUCACAGUAGGUAAAAGCAUUCUUAUGAGGUUGUAUUAUGAGGAUGAUUUUGUGCACUUCCCCCUGUUGUUAACAGUCCCUGGAAGAUACUCACCCAAAUAAAACUAUUCAAAAUGAAUCCCUCCAUUAGAGCAAACUGGGCCUUUGGUGCAUGACUCAGUCUCCAGCCAGCUAAGUGCAAUACCAGCAGUAGUUAAAAACCAAAGCUCCCCAUGUCUCAGCUGUCCAUAGCAGUGCUUACUUCUAUGUACAGUUUUCUGAGAAUGCAAUUGCAAAAUGGAUUUCCACCAGCAGCAAAGCCAACUUAAGCACUUCCCAUCACAACUGAGCUGAUUGCUCCCACCCUGAGCAGCAGCUCAGAUACAGAACUCAUCCAUACUUGGUGCUGAGGCUAAUGCUGCAUCACUGAAAGGAUUUAGGUGAAAAAAACAAGCAAGUAUUUCACUAUCACAGGAAACAUAUUGUGACCUGAAUGUGAAACAUGCUGACACCCUGCAUGUCUUUGUGACACCGGCAGUGGUGAUAUCACCAGCUGAUGGUCAGCGAUGACCAGAUGUUCUGCUGAGAUCCAUGUGGAAGGGGCAGAGCUGGCACACACCAGGUGUAUGAUAAGAUGGUAAGAGGGUCCCAGAUGGGCGACAGGAUGUGGAUGGAGCACAGCCGGCGCUCCUGCUCCACCAGCCAUGCCCCUGUUUCUGCUCCUCACUGCCAAUGCCAUGCUCUCGCUGCAAGCCCAAGUUGUUGGGCUAGCACAGAUGGAAAAAGAGAAACAGAAGAAAGAAUUGAAAUGCUGAUUGACUGUAAUCAGAUGAAACAGAGCUGAAUCUUUACUUCUUCCCACCCGGCUGCAGUGAGCAGACAGGCAUUGCUGAACAGGAACAGCAAAUCCCAUUCUUCCCUCUCUAACUCGUUUUGCAGUUUUCUGAGUCAAAACACAAGCCAAUCACCUUAGUGAACGACUCCGUUUACUUCUUUUGCUAGAAAGGCUCAUAACACCUUGUAAUCCGUAUGCAUUCUUUCCUUGUCUGGCUACUAAACAACAAAGUCAUUGAGGACAUUUAUGAAAAUGCAUGCAGCUCUUUAGUUUGACGUUAAUUUGGAAUUUAUGUUCCAUAGAGCACUAUGUACAACACUGCAGUGACACUUGUUUGGUACUUUCUCCACAUCCCAAACUGUUAGCAGUAAAGAAUUUGAGGAAUAUAAAGACUGGCUGAGUAGUUUCAAAACAAACAAAAAGAACAGAUAAAGGUAAAUAUACUGAAGUUUGGGGAAAAGUUACUGCUUAUUUUUAAAUAGACACUUAAAGAGCAAGGACAUAGGUGGAGGAAUUUGAUGAUCAAAUGUAGUUUUAAGUCUUCUUUUCUUUAGAAACGAAGAAUCUAAGAUGAUUUUUUUUCUGCUGCAAGAAGGGAUUUUAAAAUUAAAAAUCAUGCUACACUUUAUCCUAAGAUGUUGUCUUAAAUAUUUGAUGGCAGGUGCCCAACCUACAGCUUACAUGACACAUCUGAUCUUCCCAGAUAACAAUACUGCCAUGCUCAUUUUUAUUUAAUAAAUCUUCUGUCAAAAAGGAAAGAAAGAAAGAA